GUGAGUCAUCGAAUCUUUGAACGCACAUUGCGCCCGCCAGCAUUCUGGCGGGCAUGCCUGUUCGAGCGUCAUUUCAACCCUCGAGCUCCCCUUGGGGAGCCCGGCGCUGGGGACCAGCAGCACACCGCUGGCCCUGAAAUGGAGUGGCGGCCCGUCCGCGGCGACCUCUGCGUAGUACCAUCACCUCGCACUGGGAACCCGACGCGGCCACGCCGUAAAACACCCAACCUUUUUGAACGUUGACCUCGGAUCAGGUAGGAAUACCCGCUGAACUUAAGCAUAUCAAUAAGCGGAGGA
rnacentral:misc_RNA from 1 species